AGAGCUCCAGUUGUGUCUUGUUGUCUGCCAACGCUAACUGGCCAGCUCUGACAGGAGGUGCGUGGCCCAGGAGGAGCCAUCAGGCCAGUUCUCUGGGAUACUGCUGUGUCUCCAGCUCUGCAGUUUGCUCUUCGUCACUCAGCGGCAGACGGAGAGGCAGACACGAGCCCCUUGUGAGCCCUCCUCCUUACCGUCAUCUCACAAUGCUCUGAAAUAAGGAGGCAAAUGGCUGAGGUCCCCUCAGUUGUAGAUGUGAUUGAGUUCUAUCUACCAGAAGCAUAUGCCUCCUGGAAGCCUGGUUCUAACACCUCCCACAAAAUCCUUCAAGCACUUUUUUCUGUUCCAAGGUUUGCUUAUGGGGGACCCAGUGAAGUGCUUCAGAGCCCUAGAGAUUUGCUGAGUCAUAUGAGGGGUCAGCAAACUUUUCCUGUAAAGGGUCAGAUAAUAAACAUUUUAAGCUUUGUAGACUGUAUAAAGUCUCUGUUUCUUCUCCCCCUCCUCCUCCUCUUUCUCCUUCAGCUUCUUUCCUUUAAAUAUGUACAAAACCUUUCUUCUUUUCCAAAAUCUGUCUAUAUUUGACCUGUGAGCUGUAGUGUGCUGAGUCCUGCAUUAGUAGGAAAGAUCUUGAGUUUCAGAAUGACGAUGUAAAGCAGAGACCCUCCUCCCCGCACCCAUUCUCUGCAACCGACACUUGGAUUACUUUUCUUUUACUCUUUGUCUUUCUCUGAAGUAUAGAUGUAUGGUUGGCUUUCUGAGGUCAAAUAUAAUUAAGAGGUAGCCAACCAUUUGGCAAAUUUGAACCAAGAAGAGUUCUGAUAUAAAGAAUGUAGGACCCAUUCACUCCCAAUUAGUCUCUUCACUGAAAGGUGGCUUACACCAGGUAUAUCUCAUUUGCUAAUUUGCUUAGUCCAUGUCUAGGGAACCAUUGUGAUCAAGCCAAUAUACCCAGGCCAGAGCAGCCUGCUUUAGAAUCAAAGCUUUAGGCUAGGCGUGGUGGCUCACAUCUGUAAUUCCAGCACUUUGGGAGGCCGAGGCGGACAGAUCACUUGAGGUCAGGAGUUCGAGACCAGCCUGGCCAACAUGGUGAAACCCCGUCUCCAUUAAAAAUACAAAAAUUAGCCGGGCAUGGUGGCGGGCCCUGUAAUCCCAGCUACAGCUACUUGGGAGGCUGAGGCAGGAGAAUCACUUGAACCCAGGAGGAGGAGGUUGUAGUGAGCUGAGAUUGCAUCACUGCACUCUAGCCUUGACAACAGAGUAAGACUCCACCACAAAAAAAAAAAAAAAAAAAAAAGAAUCAAAGCUUUAAAAUCCAGCAGAAGUAAAAUUUCCAAGUGGGAGGGAAGAGGAUCAACAGGAGAAUCUGCAAGAGUAAAAGAGGAAGAAGAUGUGUGCUGCAUGGCACAAAAUGAAUCUGCAAAGCAUCUGGGAACUGCAGACCCUACUGAUGCCUGGAACUCACUGGAGUCAGCAUGUCCAGGCAGUCAUUGUAGCAAGUCAGAGUGGUGUGAUGAAAUGCUUCAGGAGAAAAACAUUUCACCACAGCCUGGUUCACUCAGAUACCUUGCCAGGGAACCAACAUCUCACUCGGGCCUCUGAUAUUGUAACUGUGGGCCUUUAAGAAACAACGGAAAACCCAACUGAAUAAAAACUGACCUCCUUUGUGGCUGCCCUGAUGGAAGGGGCUCAGGAGCAACAGCCUUCAUGGUGCCCACCCUCUGGGCCAGAACAACGGAUGCCCCACAACUGAGUUUAGUGCCUCCAAGAACCACAGCUUUUUUUUGCAGCAGUAAGAGCAUACCUCUGAGGCACUGUGAAGAAUCUGAUAGUCGAACUGAAUGAAGCCAAGUCCAGUCUUUACGGAAAAAUUUACACAACACUUCCAGGUGGGCAGAUUCAAAGACAGGAUGAAUCAUGGUUCAGUGCAGUGGUUCCUGGCUGUAAUCCUAGCACUUUGGGAGGCCGAGGCAGGGGGACUGCUUAAGACCAGGAAUUCAAGACAAAUCUGGGGAACAUAGUGAGACCCCGUCUCUACAAAAAAUUUUAAAAAAUUAGCCAGGUGUGGUGGCCCGUUCCUGUGGUCCCAGCUACUCAAGAGGCUGAGGCGGGAGGGUCACUUGAGCCCAGGAGUUUGAGGUUACAGCAAGCUAUGAUCGCACAUCACUGCACACUAGCCUGGGUGACAGAG
rnacentral:lncRNA from 1 species